UACGUAGGCAGCGAGCGUUGUUCGGAAUUACUGGGCGUAAAGAGUGUGUAGGCGGUGCUCUAAGUUCGGUGUGAAAUCUCCUGGCUCAACUGGGAGGGUGCGCCGGAAACUGGAGUGCUUGAGCGUGGGAGAGGAAAGCGGAAUUCCUGGUGUAGCGGUGAAAUGCGCAGAUAUCAGGAGGAACACCGGUGGCGAAGGCGGGUCUCUGGGACGGUACUGACGCUGAGACGCGAAAGCGUGGGGAGCGAACAGG
rnacentral:rRNA from 1 species